AAAGAAAGUUUUAUUCGGGGUUAUUAUUAAGUAGAAAUUUAUAUGUAAAUUUGUGUUUAAAGGAUAAUAAAUUUUGAUAGAUAAUUUAAAUAAGGGUGCAGUAAAUAGUUUUAUUUAUUUAAGAAAUUAAGAAAAAGUUAAUAUUUUUAGAGUAAACAAAUUUUGUGCCAGCAGUUGCGGUUAUACAUAAUAUUCGAUAAUAAUUGAGUGAGUUUUAAUAAAUUAUUAAUAAGGAUUGAAUUUAAAAAUAUUUUUAUUAGGUAAAAUUUUAAGAUUUAAUAAGUUUUUUAGAAAUAGUUAAUUAAAAAAUUUUUUUGUUAAACUAGGAUUAGAUACCCUAUUAUAUGAAAUAUAGAAUAUAAAACUUAAUUAGUAAAAGAUAUAUUUUUGAAAGUUAAAAAGAUUGGCAGUAUUUUAGUCUGUUUAGAGGAAUUUGUCCUGUAAAUGAUGUUCCACGAUUUUAAGUACUUAUUUUUUAAAUUUAUAUAUCGCUGUGAUUUGGAGUAUUUUAUUAGAAGAAUAAUAUUCAUGAGUUUGAAGGAAAGGAAUUCAGGUCAAGGUAUAGUUUAUGGAUAAGAUGUGAUGAGUUACAAUAAAUUUAUUUAUACAGUAAAAUUUUUUUAGAAGAGUUUUUAAGGUGGAUUUAAAAGUAAUUUUAAAAAAAUUUUUAAAAUGAUUAAAGCUCUAAGGUAUGUACAUAUUGCCCGUCGCUUUCAUAUUAAAGUGAAAUAAGUCGUAACAAAGUAGAUGUACUGGAAAGUGUAUCUAGAAU
rnacentral:ncRNA from 1 species